AAUAACAUCCCCAUUUCAAUUGAGAAUGAAGAGGUUCUUGGAUAAAGAACUUGUAAAAAUCAGAUGGCCACACCAAAGGCAGAAACUUUCAUCAGUGACUAUUCCCUAAAACUGUUUGUGGUGAACAGUGCAAACCUAUUUUUCAGAUGAGGAAGCUACACAAACCUAGAAGAUGGACGUUUGGCAAGCCAUAAUAGACUGCUCCUUUCCCAG